UCAUAAAUAAAUAUACAAGAGGUGGCAAAAACUAAAUCAACAAAAAAUGUACAGCAUUCCCUUUGAGAGUGACAUACUCUCAAAUAUGAAGUAAACAGUGCAUUAGAAUACAUAAUAAAGCAUUUCCCAGCACGCUCAGCUCCCUUACAGCCCACAUUUAAGAUGCCUUAUCACAGGUCUGAGUUUCCAGGCCCACUGACAGCUCCUCAUCUCCUCACCAGGUUGCAGUUUAAUGCAAUUAUGAUCCUGUACUCUGGCGACAGGAUCACCUAAUGUAAGCUGACAGUAUCACUGAAUGGCAUGGUGGCCCAGCAGCCAGCCAGUGAGUCACUGUUAACAGUGCCAUCAUCAUCAUCAUCCUGCGCACCGUCUAAUCCUGGAAAAGGACGUCAAUGGGCUACACCAGGCAGAGAAAUUGAUAAGCCCUCCUCUGACAACCAAACACAGAUUACACAGAGGUCAUCUGAUGUAUGCGAGUAAUGAUUAACGCAGAGAAGUGGAUUCCUCAACUUUUCCAUUUGAAGAACACUAAAAACUUUUGUCCCCAUACUUUUCCCUCUCAGCCAGCAACUAAUCUUUGCAUUGUGGGAGUUCAUUCAACCCGCAGAAUCAAGCAGGACUCAGCCAGUAGCUGCUUUACAUCUGUACUCAACCUUGACCCAUCCUACUGCAGAUCUAGACCUAAAUCUGCCCUGAAAAUACAGCCAGUCUUUGAUUUAACACUGCAGGUAAUGUGGAUCUCAGCAACUUCACAGAAAAAUGUCCUUAUUUCCCUGAGAAUCAUCCUUCUAUGUGUGGCACCUCUGAGUGAUAAAAUAAAGCCAGGGCCACACGACAGUGCCAAGCUGUAUUUGCUGAGAGUGAAAAAAAGUAUUUAUUAUAGUCUAAUCAGGUUAAGAAAUAGGUCAGGGGAAAUGGAGCAGAGCGAAGUGAUGGAUCUCAACUGUUUCUAUUGUAAAUGUGAAGUGUAGAUUUAAAGCUUCUACUGCAUAUUAACAAAACUUUGAUGUAUAUCUACAUGAUCAAACAUCAGAAGUCUCAGACACAGUCUAAUAAACAGUUAUAACAACUGCAUAACCCACUGUAUAAACCAUUUAAGUCCAUUAUAAAAAAAAACCAUAAAUAACUCAUGGGUUACAAAAUGAGGUUUUUCCUUAAUGGGACCUGAACUGUUAAGUCCAAGUUUUUUUCUCUUUUGUAAAGCCUCUAUUUAAGAAAUAUGCCCUUUACACACUCACACACUCUCACAUGUAUAUUCAUAUACAACAGUGACACAUUAUCUAUCUGGGGGAGUUGCCACAAAAGUAGACAGGAGUGGCACAACUACAAAGAGUUGCAAAACAACUACAGAGAGAUGUGAGAUGGUCAUAAAGAAAAGCCAGAGGACUGUAAAGAGAUGCAAAACAAGAUGGAAAACUGCCAAAAAAAAGACACAAAACAACCACGGAGAGACACAAAAUGACUACAGAGGCACAAAGGCCCCACACCCCCUUUCAAAAGUUUCUAAAUCUGCCCCUGCAUCUACCAAUGUUUGUCACGGCACUAAAUUCAUUAGUGCACUUCCUACCCAGCAGUGUCUGAAAUAAUCUGUCAGUCUAGUGUGAUAACCCACAGAGCACCAUUGUUCAAUAAUCAGAGGGAAAGAUGUGGAUAUCUGAUGACAAACAGUAAACUGUGAUUGCAACAUAAAGGAGAGCACUGUUGGGCUAACAUCUUUUUCCUUUUUUCUCAAUGUUUACUGACGAUUCCUCGUGCUGCUCGACUCGGCGAGGCAGUUUCACGGAGACGUGACGGCUCACGCAUACACACAGAGUCACAGAGCUGCUGCAGCACAUUGCAAAUGAGACCUGUGUCCAAGAGGUCAGAGGUCACCAUCAACAGUAAGACAUCAUCCCUGGUACAGGGGGCGUUCUGACCUUCGACACUGUCUGGACACAUGACAAUCCUGUUAGAUCUGGCUGUCUGGCUGCACAGUCACUGCAUGCAGUGAGUAAUUGACAGAGAUCUCUCAGUGAUUCUGAAGACUGUCUUCAGCUGGAUAAUCAGAGUUACUCAGUGACAGAGUCAGAGCAGAGGUUUCCAUAAAAGAAAAAAGAACUGCAGCAAAGUUUAAACAACAAAGUAAUUGAGAAUUUCUUUUUAAUGUUGAUGGUCAGACACAUUUUACUAAUGAUACACAAAUCCAAUCCUUACAAAACAGCAAAUAACAUUUAAUGAAAAUUUCAAAUUCAUCCCCUUGUGUCAUCACAGUCACUUGAUGUGUCUAUAAAGCAAACAAUUAUUUACAAUUACAGUUUGUGCCAUAUCUGUCCUGUGAACCCUUCACAACAGCGCUAAUUCAGUAUUUGUUUGAAUGAAGAAGUCAAGAGGAAAGUCAAGCAAUACACACAAACCAUCAGCAAGAAUAAAA